UACGUAGGUGGCAAGCGUUGUCCGGAUUUAUUGGGCGUAAAGAGCUCGUAGGCGGUUUGUCGCGUCUGCUGUGAAAACCUAAGGCUCAACCUUGGGCUUGCAGUGGGUACGGGCAGACUAGAGUGCGGUAGGGGUGACUGGAAUUCCUGGUGUAGCGGUGAAAUGCGCAGAUAUCAGGAGGAACACCGAUGGCGAAGGCAGGUCACUGGGCCGCAACUGACGCUGAGGAGCGAAAGCAUGGGGAGCGAACAGG
rnacentral:rRNA from 1 species